UCUCAUAGUUGCCUAGAUACUCCCAGCCUGAAUGCUGACAAGCUUCCCAAAGAUGAGUUUAAUUUUGUGAGAAUUCUAGAAUCAUAUCUCCAAGGAGGUUUCUUGCCACCAGAGUGUCCCUGGAGCAAAUUUGUGGACUCUAAAUAUUUUCCAGCAGAUUGUAAAUUUUGGAUAUGGUGCUAGCAAAGAGAAGAAGGGACAGCAGCAAAUUUCAGGACCACAUGGUUUCCAGUUAGAUUGUAGUCAGUGUGAUAUUUUGUAUGAUACACUGUGUUCUCUGCUCAAAGAUGUUCUUGGGAGAAAGAAGAAAGGUUGAACGUUUCUUUUGUGCCAAGUAAUGAAUAAUCAAGGGAAGAAACUGGGAAAGAAAAUCAAUUUUGGAUUUGAGUGUUAGAGAGAAGCUAGAAUUGUGAGCCCUUAUUAUGUUGGUGACACCAUCUUAACAAAGUAGAAAUGAGUUUUUCUUUCUCACUUUGCAGUGGAUGACUGAAAAUGACUUUCGAACCUGCUGCAACAGUGGCUCAGAAGAGCAGAAAGGGCAAAGGGACUGCAUUUCAUUGUUCUUCUGUACGAUUUCCCAUCCUGGAUGUAAAAGCAAAAUACUGUUUUUCCCUCUGUGCCUAUAUUUCAAUGUAUAUCAUCAUUUUCCUUGUUACACUUACAUUUUUAAAUAAAUGGUUUCCCCUAAGUGGAUGCCAUACAGAGA